rnacentral:lncRNA from 1 species
AGGAUCCACGCAUUCUGUCGCUUCGGCCAGAAUCAGACUCUAAACGAGUCAGUCCAUUUUGUCGCUAUGGCCUCAAUGGACCAAAGAAUUAUUUUGUCGCUUUGGCCUCAAUAAUUCUUCUAUCUUGUCGCUUUGGCCUUGAUAGAUUUGGAGAUCAUUUUGUCGCUUUGGCCUUAAUGAUCUCGACCCACUUUGUCGCUUUGGCCUUAG